GAUGAACGCUAGCGGGAGGCUUAACACAUGCAAGUCGAGGGGCAUCACGAGGUAGCAAUACUUUGGUGGCGACCGGCGCACGGGUGAGUAACGCGUAUGUAACCUACCCUGUACAGGGGGAGUAGCCCGGAGAAAUUCGGAUUAAUACCCCAUAAUGAUAUCUGGAGGCAUCUUUGGAUAUUUAAAGCUUCGGCGGCACGGGAUGGGCAUGCGUGACAUUAGCUAGUUGGUAAGGUAACGGCUUACCAAGGCUGCGAUGUCUAGGGGUCCUGAGAGGGUGAUCCCCCACACUGGUACUGAGACACGGACCAGACUCCUACGGGAGGCAGCAGUGAGGAAUAUUGGUCAAUGGGCGUAAGCCUGAACCAGCCAUCCCGCGUGAAGGAAGAAGGCGCUAUGCGUCGUAAAACUUCUUUUCCAGAGGAAUAAAAAUUUUGUACGAGUACAGAACUGAAGGUACUUUGGGAAUAAGCAUCGGCUAAACUCCGUGCCAGCAGCCGCGGUU
rnacentral:rRNA from 1 species